AGUAGUUUCGUAUCCUCGGCUACAGGACGAACGGCUGGCGGCGUGCUUAACACAUGCAAGUCGAACGAUGAAGCCUAGCUUGCUAGGUGGAUUAGUGGCGAACGGUGAGUAAUACGUGAGUAACCUACCUUUAACUCUGGGAUAAGCCUGGGAAACUGGGUCUAAUACCGGAUACGACCAAUCUCCGCAUGGGGUGUUGGUGGAAAGCGUUAUGUAGUGGUUAUAGAUGGGCUCACGGCCUAUCAGCUUGUUGGUGAGGUAACGGCUCACCAAGGCGACGACGGGUAGCCGGCCUGAGAGGGUGACCGGCCACACUGGGACUGAGACACGGCCCAGACUCCUACGGGAGGCAGCAGUGGGGAAUAUUGCACAAUGGGCGCAAGCCUGAUGCAGCGACGCCGCGUGAGGGAUGACGGCCUUCGGGUUGUAAACCUCUGUUAGCAGGGAAGAAGAGAAAUUGACGGUACCUGCAGAAAAAGCGCCGGCUAACUACGUG
rnacentral:rRNA from 1 species